UCCAGACUCCUACGGGAGGCAGCAGUGGGGAAUAUUGCACAAUGGGGGGAACCCUGAUGCAGCGACGCCGCGUGAGUGAAGAAGUAUUUCGGUAUGUAAAGCUCUCUCAGCAGGGAAGAAAAUGACGGUACCUGACUAAGAAGCCCCGGCUAACUACGUGCCAGCAGCCGCGGUAAUACGUAGGGGGCAAGCGUUAUCCGGAUUUACUGGGUGUAAAGGGAGCGUAGACGGUUAUGCAAGUCUGAAGUGAAAGCCCAAGGCUCAACCAUGGGACUGCUUUGGAAACUGUAAAACUGGAGUGCAGGAGAGGUAAGCGGAAUUCCUAGUGUAGCGGUGAAAUGCGUAGAUAUACGGAGGAACACCAGUGGCGAAGGCGGAUUGCUGGACAGUAACUGACGCUGAGGCGCGAAAGCGUGGGGAGCAAACAGGAUUAGAUACCCCCGUAUA
rnacentral:rRNA from 1 species